rnacentral:rRNA from 1 species
GCAUAUCAAUAAGCGGAGGAAAAGAAAAAUAACAAUGAUUUCCCCCAGUAACGGCGAGUGAAGAGGAAAGAGCUCAAAAGUUUGGAACCUGUUUGGCUUAGCUAAACCGGAUUGUAAACUGUAGAAACGUUUUCCUGACACGCCAGAUUAAUAAGUCCUUUGGAACAGGGCAUCAUAGAGGGUGAGAAUCCCGUCUUUGGUCUGAGCUGUUGUCUUUUGUGAUACGUUUUCAAAGAGUCAGGUUGUUUGGGAAUGCAGCCUAAAUUGGGUGGUAAAUCUCACCUAAAGCUAAAUAUUUGCGAGAGACCGAUAGCGAACAAGUACCGUGAGGGAAAGAUGAAAAGAACUUUGAAAAGAGAGUUAAACAGUAUGUGAAAUUACUAAAAGGGAACCGUUUGGAGCCAGACUGGCUUGAUCGUAAUCAAUCUAGGUUUCGACCUGGGUGCAAUUGCGGUCUAUGCCUGCCAACGACAGUUCUUUCUGAAGGAUAAAACUAAGAGGAAUGUGGCCCUUCGGGGUGUUAUAGCCUUUUAGAUAAUACUUUGGAUGGGACUGAGGAACGCAGUGAAUGCUAUUAUGGCGAGAUUUCAAUGCGCUUUUCUCCUUCAGAUAUAUGAAUUUCUGCUUCGGGUGGUGCAUAUGUCUAAGGAGAGAACUCGUGUUGUUAUUCUUCUAUUCACUUAGGUUGUUGGCUUAAUGACUCUAAAUGACCCGUCUUGAAACACGGACCAAGGAGUCCACCAUUAGUGCAAGUAUUUGGGUGCCAAACCCAUAUGCGUAAGGAAACUGAUUGAUACGAAUCCGCAAGGAGGCAGUAUCACCCGGCGCUGACGUUUUAUACUGAAUUGACCGAGGUUAAGCACUAAUGAUGGGACCCGAAAGAUGGUGAACUAUGCCUGAAUAGGGUGAAGCCGGAGGAAACUCCGGUGGAGGCUCGUAGCGAAUUCUGACGUGCAAAUCGAUCGUCAAAUUUGGGGUAUAGGGGGCGAAAGACUAAUCGAAACCAUCUAGUAGCUGGUUUCCUGCCGA